AGUGAACGCUGGCGGUAGGCCUAACACAUGCAAGUCGAACGGCAGCACAGUAAGAGCUUGCUCUUACGGGUGGCGAGUGGCGGACGGGUGAGGAAUACAUCGGAAUCUACUUUUUCGUGGGGGAUAACGUAGGGAAACUUACGCUAAUACCGCAUACGACCUACGGGUGAAAGCAGGGGAUCUUCGGACCUUGCGCGAUUGAAUGAGCCGAUGUCGGAUUAGCUAGUUGGCGGGGUAAAGGCCCACCAAGGCGACGAUCCGUAGCUGGUCUGAGAGGAUGGUGCGGCAACACGGAACUGAGACACGGGCCAGACUCCUUAGGGAGGGAGGAGUGGGGAAUAUUGGACAAUGGGGGCAAGCCUGGUCCAGCCAUACCGCGUGGGUGAAGAAGGCCUUCGGGUUGGAAAGCCCUUGUGUUGGGAAAGAAAAGCAGCAGGUUAAUACCCCGCUGUUCUGACGGUACCCAAAGAAUAAGCACCGGCUAACUUCGUG
rnacentral:rRNA from 1 species